rnacentral:rRNA from 1 species
AUUGAACGCUGGCGGCAGGCCUAACACAUGCAAGUCGAGCGAGCGGCGGGCGGGUGAGUAAUGCCUGGGACUUGCCCAGUCGAGGGGUAUAACAGUUGGACACGACUGCUAAUACCGCAUUCGAUUGGGUUGCCUAGGUGGGUUUCGCUUGUUGGUGGGGUAAGGGCUCACCAAGGCGACGCUCCCUAGCUGGUCUGAGAGGAUGAUCAGCCACACUGGAACUGAGACACGGCCCAGACUCCUACGGGAGGCAGCAGUGGGGAAUAUUGCACAAUGGGGGAAAGCCUGAUGCAGCCAUGCCGCGUGUGUGAAGAAGGCCUUAGGGUUGUAAAGCACUUUCAGCGAGGAGGCGUUACUCGCAGAAGAAGCACCGGCUAACUCCGUGCCAGCAGCCGCGGUAAUUC